GAUGAACGCUGGCGGCGUGCCUAAUACAUGCAAGUCGAACGCAUAGCGAAAGGUGCUUGCACCUUUCAAGUGAGUGGCGAACGGGUGAGUAACACGUGGACAACCUGCCUCAAGGCUGGGGAUAACAUUUGGAAACAGAUGCUAAUACCGAAUAAAACUUAGUGUCGCAUGACACAAAGUUAAAAGGCGCUUCUGCGUCACCUAGAGAUGGAUCCGCGGUGCAUUAGUUAGUUGGUGGGGUAAAGGCCUACCAAGACAAUGAUGCAUAGCCGAGUUGAGAGACUGAUCGGCCACAUUGGGACUGAGACACGGCCCAAACUCCUACGGGAGGCUGCAGUAGGGAAUCUUCCACAAUGGGCGAAAGCCUGAUGGAGCAACGCCGCGUGUGUGAUGAAGGCUUUCGGGUCGUAAAGCACUGUUGUAUGGGAAGAACAGCUAGAAUAGGAAAUGAUUUUAGUUUGACGGUACCAUACCAGAAAGGGACGGCUAAAUACGUG
rnacentral:rRNA from 1 species